CCUACGGGUGGCUGCAGUGGGGCAUAUUGCACAAUGGGGGAAACCCUGAUGCAGCGACGCCGCGUGAGUGAAGAAGUAAUUCGUUACGUAAAGCUCUAUCAGCAGGGAAGAAAUACUGACCUUACGGUCAGCAGACGGUACCUGAGUAAGAAGCCCCGGCUAACUCCGUGCCAGCAGCCGCGGUAAUACGUAGGGGGCAAGCGUUAGCCGGAUUUAGUGGGUGGAAAGGGAGCGUAGAGGGGGCGCGAAGCGUGGAGGGAAAUGCCGCAGCUUAACUGCGGAACUGCUUUGGAAACUGGCGAACUAGAGUGCGGGAGGGGUAAGCGGAAUUCCUAGUGUAGCGGUGAAAUGCGUAGAUAUUAGGAGGAACACCGGUGGCGAAGGCGGCUUACUGGACCUUAACUGACGUUGAGGCUCGAAAGCGUGGGGAGCAAACAGGAUUAGAUACCCUAGUAGUC
rnacentral:rRNA from 1 species